ACUCCUACGGGAGGCAGCAGUGGGGAAUUUUGGACAAUGGGGGCAACCCUGAUCCAGCAAUGCCGCGUGAGUGAAGAAGGCCUUCGGGUUGUAAAGCUCUUUUGUCAGGGAAGAAACGGUAGUAGCGAAUAACUAUUACUAAUGACGGUACCUGAAGAAUAAGCACCGGCUAACUACGUGCCAGCAGCCGCGGUAAUACGUAGGGUGCAAGCGUUAAUCGGAAUUACUGGGCGUAAAGCGUGCGCAGGCGGUUGUGUAAGUCAGAUGUGAAAUCCCCGGGCUCAACCUGGGAAUUGCAUUUGAGACUGCACGGCUAGAGUGUGUCAGAGGGGGGUAGAAUUCCACGUGUAGCAGUGAAAUGCGUAGAUAUGUGGAGGAAUACCGAUGGCGAAGGCAGCCACCUGGGAUAACACUGACGCUCAUGCACGAAAGCGUGGGGAGCAAACAGGAUUAGAAACCCCGGUAGUCCCAU
rnacentral:rRNA from 1 species